rnacentral:tRNA from 1 species
GCUCUCAUGGCGUAGUGGUCACUGCACUCGCCUUGCACGCGGGAGAUCCGGGUUCGAUUCCCGGCGGGGUCA